rnacentral:rRNA from 1 species
AUUGAACGCUGGCGGCAUGCUUUACACAUGCAAGUCGAACGGUAACAGGCCGCAAGGUGCUGACGAGUGGCGAACGGGUGAGUAAUGCAUCGGAACGUGCCCAGUCGUGGGGGAUAACGCAGCGAAAGCUGUGCUAAUACCGCAUACGAUCUGUGGAUGAAAGCGGGGGACCUUCGGGCCUCGCGCGAUUGGAGCGGCCGAUGUCAGAUUAGGUAGUUGGUGGGGUAAAGGCUCACCAAGCCGACGAUCUGUAGCUGGUCUGAGAGGACGACCAGCCACACUGGGACUGAGACACGGCCCAGACUCCUACGGGAGGCAGCAGUGGGGAAUUUUGGACAAUGGGCGCAAGCCUGAUCCAGCAAUGCCGCGUGCAGGAAGAAGGCCUUCGGGUUGUAAACUGCUUUUGUACGGAGCGAAACGGUCCUGGUUAAUACCCGGGGCUAAUGACGGUACCGUAAGAAUAAGCACCGGCUAACUACGUGCCAGCCGCCGCCGUAAUAC